rnacentral:rRNA from 1 species
UACAGAGGGGGCAAGCGUUAUUCGGAAUUAUUGGGCGUAAAGGGCGCGUAGGCGGCUUUGCAAGUGACGGGUGAAACCUCCGCGUCUAACCGAGGAACUGCCUGUCAGACUGUGAGGCUAUGACCGGGAGAGGUGAGUGGAAUUCCCAGUGUAGCGGUGAAAUGCGUAGAUAUUGGGAGGAACACCAGUGGCGAAGGCGGCUCACUGGACCGGAACUGACGCUGAGGCGCGAAAGCGUGGGGAGCAAACAGG